rnacentral:tRNA from 1 species
UCCCUGGUGGUCCAGUGGCUAAGACUCUGCACUUGCAAUGCAGGAGGCCUGGGUUCAAUAUUUGAUCAGGGAA